rfam:Myotis davidii contig317119, whole genome shotgun sequence.
GAUGCCUGGGGAUCUUGUUAAAAUGCAGAUUCCGGUUCAGUCAGUCUGUGGGUGGAUGCUGAGAUUUUGCAUUUCUAACAAGCUCCCAGGUGAUGUUGA